GUUUGAACUGUCCAGUUCAUUUUCAGCAACAGUUCAGUCAGACCAACGGGGGUGUUCAGCUCUCUGUCAAGUUCACUUCUCCUUAAUGGUGCCACUUCACUCUGCUACUGGAUGGUGGAGGGCUAACUGCGAACGGGUGGUCUAUGAAUGCUAUACUGAAUGGAUGGCAGGGAAGCACAACACACGUGAAUUUCUAAAUGAAGAAGAGUUAAUAAAUGCACUUGAUUUUCAAACUGA